rnacentral:rRNA from 1 species
AGAGUUUGAUCCUGGCUCAGAGUGAACGCUGGCGGCAUGCCUAACACAUGCAAGUCGAACGGUAACGGGCCCGCAAGGGUGCCGACGAGUGGCGGACGGGUGAGGAACACAUCGGAAUUUGCCCAGUCGUGGGGGAUAACGUAGGGAAACUUACGCUAAUACCGCAUACGACCGGGAGGUGAAAGCGGGGGAUCGCAAGACCUCGCGCGAUUGGAUGAGCCGAUGUCGGAUUAGCUAGUUGGUGGGGUAAAGGCCUACCAAGGCGACGAUCCGUAGCUGGUCUGAGAGGAUGAUCAGCCACACUGGGACUGAGACACGGCCCAGACUCCUACGGGAGGCAGCAGUGGGGAAUAUUGGACAAUGGGGGCAACCCUGAUCCAGCAAUGCCGCGUGUGUGAAGAAGGCCUUCGGGUUGUAAAGCACUUUUGUCCGGAACGAAACGUGUCGGGUGAAUAGCCCGGCAAACUGACGGUACCGGAAGAAUCAGCACCGGCUAACUUCGUGCCAGCAGCCGCGGUAAUACGAAGGGUGCAAGCGUUACUCGGAAUUACUGGGCGUAAAGCGUGCGUAG